CUAGGAAUUCCUUGCCUUUCCUAGAUUUCAGCCUCCAAAGGCAAUGAUCUCUACCCUGUAUACAUUAAAUAGAGGUCAAAAGUUACCAAGUUGUGCUCAGACUUCUAAAAGAUAACCCUGGCAAAGGCGUUUAAGAUUAAAGCAUAACCAUUUAAUUAAAGAACAUCAGAACAGGGGUGGACAGUUCAUGUGAAGGUCAAUGUUAGUAGAAAAGGGAGUUGACAUUCAUGAGAACCUAACAUGUCACAGAUACCAUGCCAGAUAAUUCAGAGCAGUCAGUGGGAAAGAGCUUAUCACAGGAGCUCAGGAAGUAUUGUUGGCUAACAGAGUAGGUAUGGAGAAGAGGGCAACUAGGAGUGGGAGUAACUCCUAUGUAUGUAGUCCAUGUGUAGCCUGUUGAAGUUAUCUUUUUAAACAUGAAAGACAAUUUCUAGAAGAGACUAGAGUGAAAUUGGGAUGGGAGUGGGGAGAAUAGGAGACAAGAAAAUAAAGCCAUAAGUAUAGGGUUGUCUGCCAGGACAAUCAAGAGAAAAAACAAGAAUAAGUCAUGAAGCUGUUGCACAGUUUAGCCCAAUAAGUCUGUGAAUAGUGGAAUUCAGUUGUGUCACCUUUUUUAAAAAAAUAUUUUUUAGUUGUCAACAGAUCUUUAUUCUAUUUAUUUAUAUGUGAUGCUGAGACUUGAACCCAGGGCCCCAUAUAUGUCAGUCAAGUGCUGUACCACUGAGCCACAACCCUAGCCCACAGUUGUGUUACUUUUUAUGAAUGUUUAUUGUUUAUUUCAAGAGAAGUCACAAAUUUUAAAGGUACUAGGCCAAUCUGGUCAAAACUCUUCCUGUGAAGUAUUAUCAUUAUUAUUAGAUAUGAUUUGCUGAAUGUUUACUAUAUGCCAGACCCUGCACUGCGAUCUUUCUAACCUUCAUAACAAUCCCAUAAUUUUAGCAAAUUUCUAUCUAAGAAAUAUGAAAACAAAAACAAAGCAAGAGGGACUGGGGCUAGGGCUAGGGCUCAGCGAUAGAGCACUUGCCUGGCAUGUGUGUGGCACUGGGUUCUAUUCUCAGCACUGCAUAUAAAUAAGUAAAAUAAAGGUCUAUUAAUAAUCAGAGGAAAAAAAUUAAAAAAAACAAGAUUAUAUAAUUUUCACAGGAUUCCAUUAAUUAUAAAUGGAAAGCCUGAUGCAUUACUAAAUUUUUUUCUCAGGGCUAAAUGGUUUUAAAAAAUAAGACAUUCUGAUUUACUUCAUUUUCUUCAUGUGGUUCACUGUAGAUAGACAGAAAUAGAUUGUUUAAUAGUUCAGACUAUCAGAAAAUUUCAAACAUUAAUUUUAAUAGAUGUAUAAACUUAUAAUCUCAUUAAAGUAACAGUUCUAAGCAAGAUAUUAAUUUAUAAAUAGUACAUUUCAUAAACUCUCUCCAAUAAGCUCUGUUAAGUUAGAAUUCCUAACCUAGUGACAAAGCCUGCAUGGCAGUUCUCAGACUAGUACAAAUAUACAUGUUUAAUCUGUGGUGUAUCUAAGUUGUUAAUUGUUCAAUAUGUGUUUUACUUUCUGGGAUCAAGGGCACAUUAAGAAAGUAUUGUUACUGGGAGUAAUGAGGUAGAGGGAAGGAAGUAGAAGAAGAAGUGAGUUUCCUGAUAGUCAACUAGAAAUGGAGUUCUUAAUUAGGAAUUGGUUGUAUUCACAAAAUUUGUAAAUUGCUUAUUGGAAUUCAAGACAUUCUGUCAGAAAAAAAAAUGAUAUGUAGUGUUUUAGUUUUCAGCUGGCCCACAAAGCUUAUUUAAGUGAUAAUAUAGUUGACAUUUAUUUUUUAUUUUAUUUGACCCCCUACUGUCUUUGCCCUAUAGGUUAUUUCCUUUUCUUUUUUUUUUUUAAUUUUUCUUUUGUUAUUUGGUGACUUCAAGCAAAUUAUUUAACUGCAACAUGUGUUGGUUUCUUUAUCUAUAAGAUGAGGAUAAUAACCAUAGUACCGACUUAAUCCUGAUGAUAAAAUGAAUGGG
rnacentral:lncRNA from 1 species